GUGGAAAAAACAACGGUCUUACCUAAUCAUUUAAGACUCCUUUUCAUAAUUACACGGAGUAAACUAACAAAAAAUUUCGAAAUUCUACUGUCGGCUGAAAAGUCAUGCUGUCAGUAUCAAGGAUCAUCAUCAAUUUUACGGUUCAGUGAAGCUUCAAUAAAUAAAUCAUAUACAGUUUAGGUUAAGAAACGUACCGUAUUCCGGUAUGAAAUUAUACUAUGUAGAACUGCUAUUAUGUAUGUAAUAAAUACAACUAACUUUAUAGAUAUACUUAUUGAAUAUUUUUCCCUAAAUAUUCAAUGACUAAUUUAAGGGAUACUUAAUUGAAGCUGUAGAUUGAGUAAAUUGUUAACAGCAAAAGUGCAAUAAAACUUUGAUUAAUUAAAAAAAAA
rnacentral:lncRNA from 1 species